rnacentral:rRNA from 1 species
UACGAAGGGGCUAGCGUUGCUCGGAAUCACUGGGCGUAAAGGGCGCGUAGGCGGCCAGAUUAGUCAGGCGUGAAAGCCCUGGGCUCAACCUGGGGACUGCGCUUGAGACGGUAUGGCUUGAGGGUGGAAGAGGCUCGCGGAACUCCCAGUGUAGAGGUGAAAUUCGUAGAUAUUAGGAAGAACACCGGUGGCGAAGGCGGCCCACUGGCCCGAUACUGACGCUGAGGCACGAAAGCGUGGGGAGCAAACAGG